AUUGCUUCUCGGCCUAAUGGACAAGAAAUGUUUUUUAUUAGCUUAACAUUUGAUGGUUUCUCCCUUGGAGAACAACAAUUGUUAAACUGAUUUUUUGGAAUCAGACGGAAUGCUAGCGGCUUUCACCUCUCUAUCGCGGGCUGGCGCUGUAUUGCAGUACCGCCGGGAUUUUCAGCUCAACUAAG